CAUUUUUUGUGUUCCUUUAGUGCCCUACUUUUAGUGUUUUACUGAAUCUGAAAUGGUAUGCAUCCUCCGGCUCCUUCGGUGCCACACUUCUUCUACCCUUAUAACUGUUUUUUUGUCUACUUCUUGUCAUCAAGAGUGCAUGAUUUCUACCUCCGAAAGGAACAACCACUUCCCUUGCGUUCAGGGUCUGGUCUUUCCGAGAGGGCCUUUUUCUACAGGUAUUGGGGUCUUCCAAAGAUAAGAUUAACAGUGAAAACUGCAUUUCUGAAGAAAGCCCUUCAAUUGACAUACUACUUAAUGCCACCCCGUGGAUUCUUCCUCAUGGAAAUUUCAUCCAUGCACGUCUUUCUUUCUUUCACACGAAUAGCUUUAUCACCAUAGGACUUAUACAAGAUGCCCUGAGGUAAGCAUUCGCUCAGAAAGAAGACUUGCUAUAUGCUUAACAAGCGAAGACUACAAUUAUAUCAAGCUACUUCCAGUUGACUGACUUCCUUACUAUUCAAAGCAUCUAGAAAGAAAUGUAUGAAUAAAGAAAGAACGCAUACUCUUACGGCGUUACGACUGCUCCCGAUUGAGGGGGAAGAUGACAUGUAAGGGUAACCCUCGCGGAGCGUCCUAGAAGAAGAGGCUGAGAGAAGUGGCUAGAUUCGUUACAGAGGCCAAGCCGACCCGAUCCACCUAACUGCACCUUAGAGAUAGAGGGGUCACACUGGUAAUCAGCCGCCACUAACCGAAAGCGGACGAUUCUCUCUUCCGUAAGCUGCUUCCUUAAAUGCGGAGUCACCAUCAUCAAUGUAUUUCAGUUAUAGUAAUGACUCUUUCUAUCAAGAAGACGAAGAGAGGAGAUCGAAAUCGGAGGGAAGAAGAGAAGGGUUAGGUCAAUCAGUUGACUUGCCUAGCUUCUAAAAGCUAAGGACUAUGCUUCUAAUCUACUAAUCGGUAAGCAUUCCUCUUGUUAUCUAUCUUUCUCGGGAUUUUUGGCCUACAUUACUUUUUCCUUCCUAGCCGCCCAUUUCAAUCGUGCAACUUGCAUGAAACCCGUCCGCUUUGUAUGGAGAAGCAAAACUUUAAUUUGAGCAACAUCAAUAAAUGCCCUUUCAGGGUCAGCUAGACUCGUGUACCACACAAAGAUGUAGGAGGUGCGGCAGCUCUGUUCCAGUCUAUGACAGCACUACAGCUAACACAACUACGAGCUAAGGCACAGAAAUAGUA
rnacentral:lncRNA from 1 species